rnacentral:pre_miRNA from 1 species
AAUAAAUCAAAUUUUUACUUUUUACCUACAAUUUUUUAUCUUCGUCUUAUUCAAAUUUUUUUUAUGAUUGAUAUUUUUGUUUUUAUUAGAUGAUAAAUCAUGAAUAGUACUUUACGUGUGACUAUUUUUUAAAUAAGAUGGAUGGUCAAACGUUGGACACGGAAAACCGAAG